rnacentral:rRNA from 1 species
AAGGAAUAUUGCUCAAUGGGAGAAAUCCUGAAGCAGCAACGCCGCGUGAAGGAUGAAGGGCUUUUGCUUGUAAACUUCUGUAGUGAGGGAAAAAACCUCCAUUCUAUGGAGUAUGAUGGUACCUCAAAAGUAAGCCCCGGCUAACUACGUGCCAGCAGCCGCGGUAAUACGUAGGGGGCAAACGUUGUCCGGAUUUACUGGGUGUAAAGGGUGCUCAGGCGGUUUUGUAAGUCAGAAGUGAAAUCCUAGAGCUUAACUCUGGAACUGCUUUUGAUACUGCAAAGCUUGAAUGUGGAAGAGGAUGAUGGAAUUUCUGGUGUAGCAGUGAAAUGCGUAGAUAUCAGAAAGAACACCAGUGGCGAAGGCGGUCAUCUGGUCCACUAUUGACGCUAAAGCACGAAAGCGUGGGGAGCAAAC